rnacentral:rRNA from 1 species
CCCUUAGAUGUUCUGGGCAGCACGCGCGCUACAAUGGUCUUCGCAAACGGAUGCAUUCUCGAAGGAGAAUGCCAAUCUUGGAAUCUAUGCCUUGGUCGGGACAGUUGCUUGCAAUUUUUCGACUCGAACCGGGAAUUCCUUGUAAUCGUGAUUCAUCACAUCACGAUGAAUACGUCCCUGCCCUUUGUACACACCGCCCGUCGCUCCUACCGAUCGAAGAGUUAGGUGAAUUGUUUUGAUCGAUAAGAUUUGACUAUGGUCAACUCUCGUUGUGAAAUUCUGUGAAUCUGACUGUUUAGAGGAAGGAAAAGUCGUAACA